CUCUGUGGCAUCACAUCUCUGCAACUCGGGAAGUGCAGAGGGAGUGUUUUAUACUUCUUAGUGUGAAAGAAGAGACAUUUUAAAUAGAACUUUUCAACAAACACCUUUUAUUUGCCUUCAUGACGGAUGCCAGAGCUCUCCCAGUACACCUGCCUCAACUGCAAAGUGUCCCACUGUCUCUUGAUGUACGGAAAACGAGACCUCACAAUACACAGAGUGUUAUCAGGAAAGAUAUGUUUUAAUCAGCGCUGGAUAACAUGGGGAGGUCCUUCUCCAAAGUCCUUGCACACCUUCACCUGGUUCAGGUGAGGUUUGAAGGCAAGGAAGGAUUGUCCUGUCUAGGCAAAGCUGUGAGCUGUACCCUCGCUGAGUGGGACUUGGCUUCUUACUACGCUGCACACAGGAGUCUGCAGAGGUGCGCUGCAUCAGCUGAGACACAGGCACUCUAGGAAUCCCUGUGCAGUGAUUUACCUGUGGAGCUGAUGUUCUUCCUCAUCUGUCAUGGAUUACACUUAUCCUAUUUUCUCACCCCACUUUAUGCAAACCUCUAGUUUGCAGAGAUAGUUUGAGAUUCCUUCGUAUACUUGCAGUCCUUUCCAGCUUCAUGACGUACUUGGCUUUCUUCCAAGCCAAAGAAUUCUCUGAUUCAAAGUAUACUCUUAGCUGAGUAUUGCUGAUGGAAAUGAUGGACAAAACCUAACCCAGGAGGAUUUCUGCAGGAAUGGCAACCUCCUGUUUUGGAGCUGUUGAUUUUUUCCCUUCCACCAGUGUUUUUGCUACAGCAUAUGGAAAGAAGACUGUUCCAGGCCCUUCUCUCUCCCAAGUGGAGAUGAACGCAAAAGCAUUCCAAAGACACCACUCCUCAUGACGAGUUCUGUACUGCUGUGAGUACUGCUCUAUCCUGCUAACUUCUGUUUGUUUGUUGUGUUAAGAAUUGAAGUAUGAAGCUAAAAAAAGACAGACUGACAACACAAGGAGCUUAAUGUCACUUACUAAAGCUACAUCUUUAGCUGUAACUCAUUUAUUGUGUGUGUGUGUGCUGCUUUUGCUGUAGAGUGGGAUUCACAGGAGAGAUUCAUACUAUCACACCUGGAAUUGAACAUCAUCUUGCCCAUAUUGUAAAAGUCA